CAGCCGCCGCGGGAAUACGUAGGUGGCGAGCGUUGUCCGGAAUCAUUGGGCGUAAAGGGAGCGCAGGCGGGCAUGUAAGUCUUUCUUAAAAGUGCGGGGCUCAACCCCGUGAGGGGAUGGAAACUGUAUGCCUUGAGUGCAGGAGAGGAAAGCGGAAUUCCCAGUGUAGCGGUGAAAUGCGUAGAUAUUGGGAGGAACACCAGUGGCGAAGGCGGCUUUCUGGACUGCAACUGACGCUGAGGCUCGAAAGCCAGGGGAGCGAACGGGAUUAGAUACCCCCGUAGUCCCUGUCUCUUAUACA
rnacentral:rRNA from 1 species